AGUGAACGCUGGCGGUAGGCCUAACACAUGCAAGUCGAACGGCAGCACAGUAAGAGCUUGCUCUUACGGGUGGCGAGUGGCGGACGGGUGAGGAAUACAUCGGAAUCUACUUUUUCGCGGGGGAUAGCGUAGGGAAACUUACGCUAAUACCGCAUACGACCUACGGGUGAAAGCAGGGGAUCUUCGGACCUUGCGCGAUUGAAUGAGCCGAUGUCGGAUUAGCUAGUUGGCGGGGUAAAGGCCCACCAAGGCGACGAUCCGUAGCUGGUCUGAGAGGAUGAUCAGCCACACUGGAACUGAGACACGGUCCAGACUCCUACGGGAGGCAGCAGUGGGGAAUAUUGGACAAUGGGCGCAAGCCUGAUCCAGCCAUACCGCGUGGGUGAAGAAGGCCUUCGGGUUGUAAAGCCCUUUUGUUGGGAAAGAAAAGCAGCAGGUUAAUACCCCGCUGUUCUGACGGUACCCAAAGAAUAAGCACCGGCUAACUUCGUG
rnacentral:rRNA from 1 species